rnacentral:rRNA from 1 species
GAUGAACGCUGGCGGCGUGCCUAAUACAUGCAAGUCGAACGCACAGCGAAAGGUGCUUGCACCUUUCAAGUGAGUGGCGAACGGGUGAGUAACACGUGGACAACCUGCCUCAAGGCUGGGGAUAACAUUUGGAAACAGAUGCUAAUACCGAAUAAAACUUAGUGUCGCAUGACACAAAGUUAAAAGGCGCUUCGGCGUCACCUAGAGAUGGAUCCGCGGUGCAUUAGUUAGUUGGUGGGGUAAAGGCCUACCAAGACAAUGAUGCAUAGCCGAGUUGAGAGACUGAUCGGCCACAUUGGGACUGAGACACGGCCCAAACUCCUACGGGAGGCUGCAGUAGGGAAUCUUCCACAAUGGGCGAAAGCCUGAUGGAGCAACGCCGCGUGUGUGAUGAAGGCUUUCGGGUCGUAAAGCACUGUUGUAUGGGAAGAACAGCUAGAAUAGGAAAUGAUUUUAGUUUGACGGUACCAUACCAGAAAGGGACGGCUAAAUACGUGCCAGCAGCCGCGGUAAUACGUAUGUCCCGAGCGUUAUCCGGAUUUAUUGGGCGUAAAGCGAGCGCAGACGGUUUAUUAAGUCUGAUGUGAAAGCCCGGAGCUCAACUCCGGAAUGGCAUUGGAAACUGGUUAACUUGAGUGCAGUAGAGGUAAGUGGAACUCCAUGUGUAGCGGUGGAAUGCGUAGAUAUAUGGAAGAACACCAGUGGCGAAGGCGGCUUACUGGACUGCAACUGACGUUGAGGCUCGAAAGUGUGGGUAGCAGACAGGAUUAGAUACCCUGGUAGUCCACACCGUAAACGAUGAACACUAGGUGUUAGGAGGUUUCCGCCUCUUAGUGCCGAAGCUAACGCAUUAAGUGUUCCGCCUGGGGAGUACGACCGCAAGGUUGAAACUCAAAGGAAUUGACGGGGACCCGCACAAGCGGUGGAGCAUGUGGUUUAAUUCGAAGCACCGCGAAGAACCUUACCAGGUCUUGACAUCCUUUGAAGCUUUUAGAGAUAGAAGUGUUCUCUUCGGAGACAAAGUGACAGGUGGUGCAUGGUCGUCGUCAGCUCGUGUCGUGAGAUGUUGGGUUAAGUCCCGCAACGAGCGCAACCCUUAUUGUUAGUUGCCAGCAUUCAGAUGGGCACUCUAGCGAGACUGCCGGUGACAAACCGGAGGAAGGCGGGGACGACGUCAGAUCAUCAUGCCCCUUAUGACCUGGGCUACACACGUGCUACAAUGGCGUAUACAACGAGUUGCCAACCCGCGAGGGUGAGCUAAUCUCUUAAAGUACGUCUCAGUUCGGAUUGUAGUCUGCAACUCGACUACAUGAAGUCGGAAUCGCUAGUAAUCGCGGAUCAGCACGCCGCGGUGAAUACGUUCCCGGGUCUUGUACACACCGCCCGUCACACCAUGGGAGUUUGUAAUGCCCAAAGCCGGUGGCCUAACCUUUUAGGAAGGAGCCGUCUAAGGCAGGACAGAUGACUGGGGUG